AUUGAACGCUGGCGGCAGGCCUAACACAUGCAAGUCGAACGAGUGGCGGACGGGUGAGUACUGUCUGGGAAACUGCCUGAUGGAGGGGGAUAACUACUGGAAACGGUAGCUAAUACCGCAUACCAUCAGAUGUGCCCAGAUGGGAUUAGCUAGUGGGUGGGGUAACGGCUCACCAAGGCGCCGAUCCCUAGCUGGUCGUAGAGGAUGACCAGCCACAAUGGAACUGAGACACGGUCCAGACUCCUACGGUAGGAAGCAGUGGGGAAUAGUGCACAAUGUGCGAAAGCCUGAUGCAGCCAUGCCGCGUGUAUGAAGAAGGCCUUCGGGUUGUAAAGUACUUUCAGCGGGGAGGCGUUACCCGCAGAAGAAGCACCGGCUAACUCCGUGCCAGCCGCCGCGGUAAUUC
rnacentral:rRNA from 1 species